rnacentral:rRNA from 1 species
UACGAAGGGGGCUAGCGUUGCUCGGAAUCACUGGGCGUAAAGCGCACGUAGGCGGAUCGUUAAGUCGGAGGUGCAAUCCUGGAGCUCAACUCCAGAACUGCCUUCGAUACUGGCGAUCUUGGAGUCCGGGAGAGGUGAGUGGAACUCCGAGUGUAGAGGUGAAAUUCGUAGAUAUUCGGAAGAACACCAGUGGCGAAGGCGGCUCACUGGCCCGGUACUGACGCUGAGGUGCGAAAGCGUGGGGAGCAAACAGG